rnacentral:misc_RNA from 1 species
AACGCACAUUGCGCCCGCCAGUAUUCUGGCGGGCAUGCCUGUCUGAGCGUCAUUUCAACCCUCAUGCCCUAGCGGCGUGGUGUUGGGGCUCGGCCUGAACUUGCUUCGGGCCGUCCCCUAAAUCUAGUGGCGGACCCGCUGUGGCCUCCUCUGCGUAGUAGUAAUAUUUCGCAUGUGGAGAGCGGCGAGACCCUGCCGUAAAACCCCAACUUCUCAAGGUUGACCUCAGAUCAGGUAGGAAUACCCGCUGAACUUAA